rnacentral:lncRNA from 1 species
AAUUCAGCUGAAUAAUAGAGUAAUAAGUAUAUUAAUAAAAAUGAAUUUGAAAUAUAAUAAAUUUAUAAAAUAAAGAAAAUCAUAUCUUUGCUAAUAAUGUCUACUAAUAUUAUUGUUUAGCAAAAGUUAUGGUUAUAAAAUGAUCAGAUUUAGCUAGUUAAAUUAGGCCUGUUAGUACACUUAUAUUAUGGUUUCUUCAUUUUAUUAUUAGUUAAUGUAAUAUUUUCAAAAUCAAAUAUGUGGAAAGGAGCUGUUUGGAAUGAAGAUUUACAAGAAAAAGUAAUUCUAUCUAAUUGGAUAAGUGAUAAAACUGUUUGUUGACUUCCAGGUACCAUAGCAUUGACUGCAUUAAAAUGCAGAAAAGAAUUGGCUUAAGUUUCUACAAAUAAAAACAAAAUUCUCUUCAGAAAGCAAACUGUUGUGAAAAUUUUGAAUUCACUGCUAUAAAAGAAAAAGGUGAUAAUUAGAAUGUUGAUUAACAAAAAAGAAAACAUAAACAAAGAGAAUUUACUGAUUCUUUACCAAAUAAUUCAAUUAUAAUUAAUUGGUGGAGCGUCUUCUAAAGAUAGAAUACACAAAAUUAUGCUGAGCUUCUUCUACUGUAUUCACUGGGCCAAAAGAAACCUCGGUUAAUGAAACAUUGUUUGACUUUCUAAAUUACGCUCUAUUUCAAAAAGGUGAUGGAAAAGAGAAGAAAUUUGUGUAGAUUUUAUUCAAUUAUAUGUAAAUAUAUGUAAUAUUUAGAUAUAUUUUUCAA